CUAGUUGGUAAGGUAACGGCUUACCAAGGCAACGAUGCAUAGCCGACCUGAGAGGGUGAUCGGCCACACUGGAACUGAGACACGGUCCAGACUCCUACGGGAGGCAGCAGUAGGGAAUCUUCCGCAAUGGGCGAAAGCCUGACGGAGCAACGCCGCGUGAGUGAUGAAGGUCUUCGGAUCGUAAAACUCUGUUAUUAGGGAAGAACAUAUGUGUAAGUAACUGUGCACAUCUUGACGGUACCUAAUCAGAAAGCCACGGCUAACUACGUGCCAGCAGCCGCGGUAAUACGUAGGUGGCAAGCGUUAUCCGGAAUUAUUGGGCGUAAAGCGCGCGUAGGCGGUUUUUUAAGUCUGAUGUGAAAGCCCACGGCUCAACCGUGGAGGGUCAUUGGAAACUGGAAAACUUGAGUGCAGAAGAGGAAAGUGGAAUUCCAUGUGUAGCGGUGAAAUGCGCAGAGAUAUGGAGGAACACCAGUGGCGAAGGCGACUUUCUGGUCUGUAACUGACGCUGAUGUGCGAAAGCGUGGGGAUCAAACAGGAUUAGAUACCCUGGUAGUCCACGCCGUAA
rnacentral:rRNA from 1 species